GACGAACGCUGGCGGCGUGCUUAACACAUGCAAGUCGAACGGAAAGGCCCUGCUUUUGUGGGGUGCUCGAGUGGCGAACGGGUGAGUAACACGUGAGUAACCUGCCCUUGACUUUGGGAUAACUUCAGGAAACUGGGGCUAAUACCGGAUAGGAGCUCCUGCUGCAUGGUGGGGGUUGGAAAGUUUCGGCGGUUGGGGAUGGACUCGCGGCUUAUCAGCUUGUUGGUGGGGUAGUGGCUUACCAAGGCUUUGACGGGUAGCCGGCCGGAGAGGGUGACCGGCCACAUUGGGACUGAGAUACGGCCCAGACUCCUACGGGAGGCAGCAGUGGGGAAUAUUGCACAAUGGGCGGAAGCCUGAUGCAGCAACGCCGCGUGCGGGAUGACGGCCUUCGGGUUGUAAACCGCUUUCGCCUGUGACGAAGCGUGAGUGACGGUAAUGGGUAGAGAAGCACCGGCUAACUACGUG
rnacentral:rRNA from 1 species